GGCCAACCCAUUUCUCGCUGUCUCCUACGCGCGCCAACGAGUUCACCAGUUUCGCAAAGUCCCGGACCGCGUUGCCUGCCUAGCUCGGGCUGCUGCAAAAAGUCUUCCGGUUCACAGCACCAAGCGAGUGCACUCAUCUGCGAAUGAAGAGGAGCGGCACAUUGCGUGUCAGAUUUCAGCGCCAACCACUUUACGGUCCUGUGUAGUAGUGAGCCGACAUGGUCCUGCGACGCACCCUUGACGCUUCGGUUUUCGCACAUAUCUCAUCGGCGGCCCGCUGAUAUGGCUUUUGUCGGAAGCCAAGAAGAUUGAACAGCAGCACUCAUUGUAUGCAGCGUCAAACUACAGCGCCGCUUUCUCUUCUGCUUGGAUUUCAUUGCCGAUGAAUGCAGGGAACGUCUGGCCGAGGACAAAAGGCCUCUCCACACUCAUGCUGGCAGUGCUUCUAUACGAAGAGCCACUUCCAUUCGUUUAACGCCACCAAAUCUUGGAUGGCGCGAUGUGGAACACUCUACGCACCAGUGCCCGGAAGAUUGAAAGAAACGUUCAUACAAAUGUGCUACGGUUUCUCAGUCCAUAAACACAUCUGUGUCGGCGACCUCUGCGAUGCUUCUGUUAGGCAGAACAUGGUGUCAUUAUCAGAAUUAUCAAGACCGCACUGCCUGAAGGAUGAGCUCGCUUUACAAGCCACCUCGAAACGCUUUGAGGGACACUUAUUGUGCACUGGUGUUAGGAUGAGGAGGAAAUAACUUCAUUUAUUACGAAGAAAAAGAAACGCAAGUCCGGUGGUGUACCUGCUUGCGCCUGGGAGUAUUACUACCUGGCCCGCCACACCACCUGCUGCUGGUCGAUUGACCGACUAAAGGACCUGCCUUUGAUUAAACAGCCUUUG